rnacentral:rRNA from 1 species
GACGAACGCUGGCGGCGCGCUUAACACAUGCAAGUCGAACGGAAAGGCUCCAGCUUGCUGGAGUACUCGAGUGGCGAACGGGUGAGUAACACGUGGGUAAUCUGCCCUGCACUCUGGGAUAAGCCUGGGAAACUGGGUCUAAUACUGGAUAUGACCUUUCUCCUUAUGGGGUUUGGUGGAAAGUUUUUCGGUGUGGGAUGAGCCCGCGGCCUAUCAGCUUGUUGGUGGGGUGAUGGCCUACCAAGGCGACGACGGGUAGCCGGCCUGAGAGGGUGAUCGGCCACAUUGGGACUGAGAUACGGCCCAGACUCCUACGGGAGGCAGCAGUGGGGAAUAUUGCACAAUGGGCGGAAGCCUGAUGCAGCGACGCCGCGUGAGGGAUGACGGCCUUCGGGUUGUAAACCUCUUUCAGCAGGGACGAAGCGUAAGUGACGGUACCUGCAGAAGAAGCACCGGCUAACUAUGUG